rnacentral:rRNA from 1 species
CUGGUUGAUCCUGCCAGUAGUCAUAUGCUUGUCUCAAAGAUUAAGCCAUGCAUGUCUAAGUAUAAACUGCUUAUACUGUGAAACUGCGAAUGGCUCAUUAAAUCAGUUAUAGUUUACUUGGUGGUUAAUUUUACUUGGAUAACUGUAGUAAUUCUAGAGCUAAUACAUGCAUAAAGCUCCGACUUCGCGGAAGGAGUGUAAUUAUUAGCUUACAAACCAGUGCGGUAACCCCGCUUCUUGGUGAAUCGAAGUAAUCCAAUUUUUCUUUUCUGAUCGUAUGGUCUCGUACCGACGACGCACCAAUCAAGUUUCUGCCCUAUCAACUUUGGAUGGUAGUGUAGUGGACUACCAUGGUGUUUACGGGUGACGGAGAAUUAGGGUUCGAUUCCGGAGAGGGAGCCUGAGAGAUGGCUACUACUUCCAAGGAAGGCAGCAGGCGCGAAAAUUGCCAAACCAGCUAUGCUGGAGGCAGUGACAAUAAAUAUCUGCGGGUCUUAUAGAUCCGACUGGAAUGAGAUGGAUGUAAACAAUCCUACGAGUAUCAAUUGGAGGGAAAGUCUGGUGCCA